GGCGGAUGUAGCCAAGUGGUC
rnacentral:tRNA from 1 species